UACGGAGGGUGCAAGCGUUAUCCGGAUUCACUGGGUUUAAAGGGUGCGUAGGAGGGCAGGUAAGUCAGUGGUGAAAUCUCCAAGCUUAACUUGGAAACUGCCGUUGAUACUAUCUGUCUUGAAUACCGUGGAGAUGAGCGGAAUAUGUCAUGUAGCGGUGAAAUGCUUAGAUAUGACAUAGAACACCAAUUGCGAAGGCAGCUUACUACACAAUGAUUGGCGCUGAGGCACGAAAGCGUGGGGAUCAAACAGG
rnacentral:rRNA from 1 species